GGGAAGGAACAGUAAGGAAACUCAGGCCGCUGGGUUGAGGCUCUAGGGAGCAAGGGGCCCAGGGUGCAGGGAAGGGAACGGUACGAAAACGUGGGUGAGACGUGGGAUCCGGAUAAGAAGCCGCAGGUGGGCAUUGGGAGACCUUCCGAGAAAUUUCUGGAAGCAGGUCCUUGGAAAACAGGAUGGAAGCUGUUUGCUGGGCCAGGCCCUCUUCUUCCCCCACGGCUAAUCUCUUGAGGCCAGACACCCCUCAUUAGAAGACUCCUUCCUCCUCCUUGGAAUGAGUUUCCUCCUUCGCACACGCGCAAGCUGCAGGGUGCCCAGGGCCGCGCCCAGCACAACCCAGCCACCCAGGAGAGGCGCGCCCCAAACAAGUUUGCGCUUCGCGGCGGGCUCUGCAUCUAGCUGGGAGGAGCAGCAAAGCCGAGUCGUAGACUACAUUGCCCACAAGGCCCCGCGCGCCGCCAUCUCAGCCGGUGGGCGGUGGUCGCCUGGGGUCCUGGCUUUUGUAAGCCGCAGGGCUAACUCUACACGCCCUAACCCCCGACUUCUUGAAGGCCGUGAGACCGAACCAAGUAGGGUGCUCUGGCCAAGUAGAAUUCCUGGACGCCUUUGCACUCCCUUAUCCCCGGAAGCCCCAUCCACGUGUCGGCCAGCUCGCGGACGUCAUCUAGCCCCUUGCUGGCCGAGGGUCUCGCACGUUCCUCACCGGAUCCGCGCCCUACUCGGCCUUAUGCCUUAGCCCGCCUCGGUUUCGGCCUCAGACACAGAAUGAGACAGGGCCAGAAGAGAACUAUGGUCCUGACGGACGUGCAGAUCCAGGCACCCGACACCUAGAAGUCUGGGUUUGGGGGCCAGAGGUUAAAUUAAGGGGGAGACCGCAGAGCCCCGGAACCUGCAAACUAGGU